rnacentral:lncRNA from 1 species
UUCACUUAGAAAUUCGCUAAAAAUCCAAAUUGUCUUCAAAUCUAGCAAACCUUGUGCCUUUCAAAACUAAGAUUAUAAAUCUCAAUGCUCCCAAAAUUUCAAUUGAAUCCAAUCAUAAGGCACUGAGAAAUGCUUUCCCAAACUUGAUUAAUCCAAACUAUGAAGGCAGUUGACUCCCUUGCACUCAAAAUUUCACCAAAAUUUCAAUUCAACUCCAAAUUGAGCAAGCCUUAUCUUAUUGGAAAGCUAAAAAAAAAAGAUAAAACAUAAAUUAAUUUCAUAUUGAAACUAAAAAAAUUUAAUAACUCAUUGAGGGAAAUCCGAGGCUCUUAAAAGCCUUGGAGUAUUUGGGAGGCCAAGGGAGCUAUCUACUACAAUGAAGCAUGUUUUAAAACCCAAUGACUAUCAUUUACAAAAACAAAUCUAUGCACACCCAUCCAAAA